CAAUAGCGUAUAUUAAAGUUGUUGCGGUUAAAAAGCUCGUAGUUGGAGUUCUGCCAGGUGCCGCCUGUCCGCCCCAGUGGUGAGUACGUGGCGCGCAUUUGGCCCUUUCAAGGGGAGCGUAUCUGCACUUUAUUGUGUGGUGCGGGAUCCUUGACUUUUACUUUGAGGAAAUAGGAGUGUUCCAAGCAGGCUCUCGUCGUGCACAGCUCAGCAUGGAAUAAUAGCAUUGGACCUCGAUUCUAAGCUGUUGGUUGCCAGAAGCGAGGUAAUGAUGAAGAGGGAUAGUUGGGGGCAUUCGUAUUUAACUGUCAGAGGUGAAAUUCUAGGAUUUGUUAAAGACGGACUACUGCGAAAGCAUCUGCCAUGGAUGUUUUCAUUGA
rnacentral:rRNA from 1 species